GACUUGCCAAAGAUGAGGACGGAAAGGGAGAGUGUAACCAACGAUUCAACAACAUGAUGCAAACUUGAAGACAAAGAUUUCUAAUCAAGGGGAAAAAAAGAACGACAAAAAAAAGAAUAUAAUGGAAAAAGAAGAGCAACCGAUUGUCAUACACGAACCUCAACAGAUUCAACGAAGACGAAGACGCUCGAAAGAUCGAUCGACCGACAAUCGCCGGCGGAUCCACUUCAGGCGGCCGUCUCUUCUCUGGCGUAUACCGCACCAAGCCAAGAAGCAAAUGAGGAACCCUAACGCCACAGCCCCAAUACCUCUACUCCAAGCCCAAGCCCUGUUGUUCUUGAACCCCAGAAGCGUGACUCCAACCGCCAGCUCCUUCUCAGGGGCCAUCCCCAGUGCCGCCGCUACCGCCAUGGAUACGAGAAGCCCGAUCAGACCUCUUCCUCUACCCCUUCGUCGCCGGCCCCAUCCCCCAAACCAUCCGCCGGAUCCGUAGCCCCAGAGCCCUCGCCGUCCUCCGCUCCCGUUCCCUCCGCCCGCCACGAGUUGUAGGAUCAAAUCCACUGGAUCCGCCCGCGGAGGCCCGAGGAACUUUGCGGCGAAGGAGACGGCGGCGCGCCGAAGCGCCUCUGGUCCGGUGGCGAUCCAUCGCCUUCUGCUUCCUCUUCUUUUUCGGCCCUUCGCUCCGCCGAGUCCGAGGACGGCGGGAGGCGCCACAUUGCGGAGGAGAAGCCUGGGUUGGAUCGCGAUGAGCGGCGGCGGAUGGAGCACGGAAAGCAUCGUCUGGUGUCGAUGGCAACGGUAUGUUUUGAGUUUUACGUUCUACUAUUUUCGGUGGUUCAAAAAGGACCUCCAAAGGAAAGGAAAGGAAAAUAGAAAAUAGAGGAGAAAGCGGAGGAAUUUGAUGACCCAAACGUGGUUCCCCACCGCGUACCCAAAUUCCUACCCGUUUCUGGUCGGCCACUCAUGAGCCUGAUUAAUGGAUCGGAAAAUGGGACCCACUUUGGGACCACAAAAAUCGUCAACAACAAGGCAGGUGGCGUCGUGGGCGUUCUUACAUCAAUGUUAUUAUAUGAAUUAAUGUUUUAGUAUUACUAGUUCAUGAGCGAACAGUUACUAAAGAUUCAGGUAUUUCUACGAGCACUACCUGCCUUAUCAUCGGGUCCAUUAUAGAAAAGCUUAUUAUGCUGGUGAUUCUGAAUAGUUGCAAUGAGUUCGUUUACAGGUUGCCAAGUUUUCAUGUAUGGUUCGUUUUCCUUAAUAUUAUUUUAGUGUAUGUGAAUGUUUCAUUUGCAUAUUCUGUGCUCAGGUAUGCUAAGCCUCUGAAAGCUUGCUUGCUCAAAUGUUACAUUGUUUUGAUAAAUAUCUGACUGAUAAUUAUUCACAUUUAUGUUCUCAUAAGUCAUAAAGACCAUAAUCUUUUCCUCAAAUAAUGGAAUUCUCUAUAACAUGCUGAACAUUUAUACAUAAAUAAAAACAAUUGGUCUAUUUGCUCAUAUUUGUAUAUGGAUAAUAUAAGUUAAAUGUUAAUAAGCAUUAAUGUGAAAUUGGUGGAUGUAAACAUAUUUGAAUGUAUGAUUAAAUUAUGUGCUGGUUGUCUAGAUAGAGUGUAAGUGUAGUGCUUGCAAUAUUUCAACAUUCUUAAUCUGCAUUUUGCUUUUCAGCAUGCAUUUCUUCUUUUAUUCCUCUAUAAUUCACUGGGUGUCCAGAUACCUCUUCUUGUGAUGCUUUGUAUUGCCAAUUUGAAAUUCUUAAUAUUAUCAUGAUGUAAUAUAUUUCUCAUGCAUAAGGAGUUUUUGUGUUUUAGAAUUCCUGAUAGAACCUACAAUACUGAUGCAUGAGCUUUUGAAAUCCACAAAAAAUUCAAAUCUUCCAGGUGAAAUAUAUAAUUAUAGUUACCAUGUAACUGUAAAAUUCAGAUUGCUGUGUGAUUUGUAUUACAUGAAACGAAUCCUGAAAUCAAUAAAAAAUUUUGGAUAAAUCCUGAGUCUUUUGACUUGUUUUCAUCGUUUGAUGGUUAUAAUCAUAUAUAUUUAGAAGUUACAAUGUUAAGCAUCUUCUCAUUAUAAUCAUAGAAGUCUAUGAGUCGAGGUAUUUAUUUCCCUCGACAUGCUUGAGUCUAGUUUUCGACAUUUUACUAAUAAAUUAUCCUGUAUUCUUUUGUAUUUCUACAGUAAGAAUAGAAAGAUACAUUUGAUUUUCAGGCCAUUUUCUGCCUAUGCAAUGCAAUUUAGUUACAAUUUGAGUAUCUGCUUAAAGGCUGCUCUCCUCCUUCCAGAUAUUGGUGUUAUUGUUAAAUGUGUAUCUCUUGGUUUACUAGUCACAAAACAAUUGAUGUAGUGGAGCUUUUGGAUAAUGUCAAUUUACUUUCCCAUACACUGGAAGUGACUGUUUACAUUGACAUGUAGAAAUUUCUGGGUGAAUGCUAGGUUUCUUGUUUUGUUGAGGAAUUUGAGAAAACCAUGUUCUUCUCCCCCAGUAUAGAUUUUGAAUGCAGGAGAAAGUGCAUGCAAGUAUUGCAUCAACCAAGGUUCUGCACAUCCAUCUCCUGGAGAACAAAAUAUAAGAUGAUUCCCACAGCCCACAUGCAUGCAUUCUGCCUAUUCCAGCCUCUUUGUUCCUUCUUAUUAAUGUUAGUUUCCCUUGCAGGGCACUGAUGGCUGCUACUUGACUACUAGGUUUUCCAGAUUCCAUGCACUUUCUCACCACUUAUAGCUAGCUCAGGAACAUAAAAGCAGUUUCUCCUACCAGGAGAAUAUCAAGCUUUGUUGGAUGGAAAUGUAGCUCUCAAGACCCCAUGCACCAUGUCAUAUACAUACCAGGAGGAGCACACUUUUAUCCACAUGAACGCCAUGAUUGAUGACACCCCAGUUGUGAUGAUGAAUACCUUCCUUCUGAUCUACCAUGAAACAGACUAAAUUAUCCAUCACAGCGUGUUUUCAUAAUCCCAAGGCGCUGCAGACACUGAAGCUAAGCCUCAUGCAUGCUUGUCCAGUACAAUGCUAGCCUAGCAGCUGAAUUCUUAUUCCUUGAACACACCAGGUAACAGCACAACUUCAGUACCUGGCAAACAUGAUGAGAGAUGUAGGGUUUUAUCUGUCUGGGGAUCAUGCUUGCCAGGAGACCACCACCACAUUAAAAGACCAGAAAUCCUGGUCCAUGUUCUGAUGCACGCAAGUGUUGCAGCUCAGCUGUCCUUCCUAUAUGCCUAAUGAUAUGAUAAAAUACCUACUGCAACCAGUUGUUCAGGAUAAAUGUGAUGUGUCAAACAGCACUUUCCAAUAUCUUCAUAUUAAAUUACGAUUAUGAAGCAAGGCAUUGUCCGGUAACAGUUGAUCUAACUUAAAACUAUGCCACUUGGUUAAGUCUUUGCUGGUUAUACCAGAAACCUGAAGAUGUUAUACUGAGGAAGAUAAGAACAGUAGAUUUGCAUAUGCCAGUUGUUCUUAAUUAUAAUGAGUUCAGGUCACCUUAUUUUAUAUAUUGUGAAUUUUCAUAGCAUGUCCUUUUAGACUGGAAAGACAAAGAAAGAGAAAUGGUUCUCUCACCCACUUUGUUACAUGUUAUAGUGCUCACAGAUUUUAGGUGAUGAUUUCAUGAAAUUUUUAGCCACAGUUGGUGAGAAGAUAUAGGGAAAAGAAGUCUGGUUUGAGAAAUACUUUCAAUGGAAUUUGGACACAUCAAGAGGGUGGGUGACCUGGUGUUUGACCAAAUGAGUGCCAACAGUGUUUCCCAAUAAAGUAGCAUCAUCAUAUUUAUAAUGAGAUAGCAGACAACUAAUCCUCCUAACAUUUCAAUUUAGAUGAUGAAUUCAAUGAUUCAGUUUUGUGUCCUGACAUUACUGACUUCAAUUUUGAGAAGGAAGUGAAGUUAGUGGUCAAGAAUUCCACAUCACUUAAUUAGGGAGCCACCAAACUAUUUCCCAAGAGAAGAAGAGAAAAAUUGGCAUACAACAGUUGUUGGAGUGGAGAGAAGCCCUGCCUUGCACCCUUUCUAUCACAUAGUGAAGUGGAUUGGGAUAAGCUAAAAGGAAAAGAAGAAGUUUGAAGGACAACCAGACUGGCAGACAUCUGACCACUGGAUAUGUUUCAAGUCUAUCUUGGAUUUCAAUCCAUCCCCUCAUCCUUUUGCUUGCAACUUUUGCUGGAUAAUCUCAUGCACUUCUCCUCUCCACCUAUUUAUUUUCUCUGGGGCCACAAAGUAGUGGAUUGAUCAGCUACCAUUGGGGCCCAUAUGCCUGUUUUAUGCACAAGCCUCUCACCUGCUCCCAUCCCUUGCCAUUGCCUAUUAAUAGGCAAAGAAGUUGUAAAAGAGAGCAAGAAUGAGCACUUGAAACAGAGAGAGAGCUGUGGAGUGGAUCGGGACUGCUGGUCCCUACCUUGUUUUAUUACUUCAACAACUUGGUGCUAGUGCUGAUGGCUGUGGAGGUGGAAGAUGAUGUUUUCUUUGCAGAUCUUGCUAAGCAGAUUGCUCUGCUAAUUAUGGAUGAUGAGGAAGAGUUCCUAGUGCAUUACCCUCAGCUUCCUGUUCAGGAGUUUUGAGGUGCUCGAAUCAGUUUGGACCAGCCGAUGUUAUUCUCAAUCUAUUACUCAGGUCAUGACAGAGACCCAUCUGAAAUAGAGCUGGAUAAUAAUUGAAGAUCUCAAAUUGGAUAACUAUUGGAAAUUUAAUACUGUAGCCAAUACACAUCCAGAGCAUCCUUGCAUGCCUCAAAUCAUGAUUCCACCACCGCAAAGCUAUCAGAUGGCUUACAGAAGGGAGAGCAAAGGAACAGGAGUCUUCAUCCCAUGCUCUACUGCACCAAGAAAGAAGAACAGGCCAAGGAGGCCCUC